GAAAUGCGAUAAGUAAUGUGAAUUGCAGAAUUCAGUGAAUCAUCGAAUCUUUGAACGCACCUUGCGCUCCUUGGUAUUCCUUGGAGCAUGCCUGUUUGAGUAUCAUGAAAUCUUCAAAGUAAAUCUUUUGUUAACUCAAUUGGUUUCUACUUUGGUAUUGGAGGUCUUUGCAGCUUCACACCUGCUCCUCUUUGUUCAUUAGCUGGAUCUCAGUGUUAUGCUUGGUUCCACUCGGCGUGAUAAGUUAUCUAUCGCUGAGGUCACUGUAAAAGGUGGCCAAGGUAAAUGCAGAUGAACCGCUUCUAAUAGUCCAUUGACUUGGACAAUACUUUUAUGAUCUGAUCUCAAAUCAGGUAGGACUACCCGCUGAACUUAAGC
rnacentral:misc_RNA from 1 species